GAUCAGGGUUUCAGUGGCAUUUAAAUCCCCGGCGCUCCUUCAUCUAGGUGACGCGCAGUCGCCCCCCUAGGCAGCCCAGGCGGCGGCAGUAGCUGCGGCGGCUGCAACGGCGGAUUCAGAGUGCCGGGGCAAAGGAGAGGAGAAGCUGCCUUCUGCGCGCGCCCGACUACGCUCGCCCCCCGCCCCUGCGGGAGGUGGGGGCUGAGGACAUCCCCCGCCCCCGUUCCCCUCUCCGCUGUGCACAGAAAGAUGAACUGGCAAGAGGUGAGAUGGGAAGAGGGCGCUCGGCUCUCUCGGGUGAGGAAUAAAGGGGCCGGAACUCGCUGGGCGGAACAGAAAGGCUAGGAACAAGGCCGGCGCGAGCCCCCGGUUCCGGGGUAGUUUUUACUGCACAGUCCCUGCUGCGGGACCCUGGGGCGGUGGGGAGUACAGAGAACUGUGGUGGAGGGCGAGGCUAGCCCAUCCGCUUCCCAAGCUCCGAGCGGAGAGGGAAGUGCGCAAGGGCUGGCUGAGAGGAAUCCUGGUGGGUGUGCAGGGGCGUGUUCCAGAAAAGAAAACUCCCUUCUCCACGGAGGGUCUCCGAAGCUCCCUUUCCGCCCCCCCCCCCCCCACACCGUUGCUAUUAGCAUGCCAAUAAGGGGCGUUUGUAAUUCGACGCCCGGGGGCGGAUGAGCCCUUGGCGCACAGCUCCUCAGCAAAGGCCUGGGAUGGCCCGACUCUUCUCCGCCCUCUCUCCUCGCUCUCCGCCCCUUUCUCCUCCUCACUCAGCUUUGCUCCCGGUGCCCUCCGGGAUCCCCAGCAACUGGGCCACUGGAUUUUGAGGGGUAGGAGGCGGGGAAGAGAGACGACGCUAGCGGACAUGGCCAGCGUGGGGGCCGGGCUGCGCGCUGCAGCCCAUCUGCCGGCUUCCUAGGACCCAGCAGCCUGCGCGCUCCAGGUGGGGCCUAGAAGGGCCAGACCACAGCUCCAACAAAGCCCGCAGAAACUCGGGCCGGUGACCGUCCGCCUCUGCGCGCCAAGAUCGGCAGACCGAGCUCUCGCAACCGAGCGGGCUCCGCCUGAGAGCUUCCAGGAGCGCAGCUCUCCCGUGCGGCUCACAAAAGCAGCCUGCUCUGACUUCGAGCCGGUAGGCUUCCGUAGCUCGAGUCCUCCCACCCCACCCCCACCAAGAAAUCCUGGGGCCGAUUAGGCGGUGAAGGGGGUGCGUGGUCUUCUGGGCACGCAUGCCGGAGCCCCACCACACAAGCUAAAUCUCUUUAAACGCCCAGGGAAAAUGGAUGAAAAGGCUAGCGUGGUCACGAUUAAAAUAAUCGCCUGCAAGCGGCUCGCUAGGCUCAAAGCCCCUCUUUCAAGGCUCUUGGACUAGAAAGGGAAGGAGCCAGGAAGAGACAAAACCCCGCCGAGUCCCGGAGCUGUUCAUGGCAUCUGCGGCUCAGCCAAGCUGUUGUUUUAAAAGAGCAAUAAAAAUGAAUUAUGACUAAACGCCUUCUAACUUAAUGCUUUCGGACGGGAAUCCCCGGCAACUACGUAAGAGGAUUUUUAUUUGUGCAUGUGUUCCUGCAAUUGAUCUCUUUGAUGACAUUCUCAUUCAUAGAAAGCGUUUGAUUUAUGAGCAUAGGACGAAUCGCACCCAGCAGCGGCUCAGCCCUGGCCGGGGCCGGGCUGCCCUGCUCCGCGCCGCGCCAGGGGCCGGAAAUCGGCCAUGGUGCCCCCCUCCCCCACGCCUCCGCUGCUGCCAAGACUUAGGGGGUGAAGGAGAAAGGGAAGAUGGGGAGCAAACCCAUGGAGAAAGACCGCGAUUUCAUUAUGACUUCCAAGACUCUACAGUUAAGAGCCGGGUUCGUAAAUCAACUGCCCCGCACACAUGUUGCUUACACACCGCGUUUUCUCACGGUCUGUUUGCCUGGACUCAUCCACACCUGGGAGACUAAUCAACCACACUGAAAAUGUGUGGGGAUUUAUGGGGGAGGGGUGGAAUGUAGAUGUUUGAAACAAACGUGUAUAAAUAAAUAAAAUGCUGAUAACUUAGUUAAUGACCUAGAGACUGGUAGCUUGUUCAAGAAACUCCACAUUCCUGAGUGGGAGGUUUCUUUAGGCACUUUAUUUAUCCAGUUUCAAAAGCUUCCACAUGGCCCUACUCAUAGGCUGCCCAAUCUUGUUUCUAUUACCUAUUGAAAUCGAUGGCUUGAAGCUCUACACUGAAAACCAAAUAUAUUCCCUUUAAAAAAAAAAAAAACACUUCUCAGAAGCCAUAGCCAUUUUCUGGCUUUCUUUUUUGUUGCUAUCUAAUGAAAAUUUUGUG